UAAGGAAUAUUGGACAAUGGAGGGAACUCUGAUCCAGCCAUGCCGCGUGAAGGAUGAAGGCGCUCUGCGUUGUAAACUUCUUUUGAGUGGGAACAAAAAACGGGACUUGUCCUGGACUGAGGGUACCACUAGAAUAAGCACCGGCUAACUCCGUGCCAGCAGCCGCGGUAAUACGGAGGGUGCAAGCGUUAUCCGGAAUCACUGGGUUUAAAGGGUGCGUAGGCGGUGUUGUAAGUCAGUCGUGAAAUUCCCCGGCUCAACCGGCGGGACUGCGAUUGAUACUGCGGCACUUGAAUCAGGUUUAGGCAGGCGGAAUGUGACAUGUAGCGGUGAAAUGCUUAGAUAUGUCAUAGAACACCGAUUGCGAAGGCAGCUUGCUGGGCCUUGAUUGACGCUGAGGCACGAAAGCGUGGGGAGCAAACAGG
rnacentral:rRNA from 1 species